CUCCCACCCCUCUCCCCGCCCCCUUCUCUUUCGGGUAUCUUUCUCGCUCUUUCCCCCCUCCCUCCUUCGAGUCUCUCAAGCGGAGAGACUCUGAGCAAAGGAGGCCGCUGCUGCCAUCUUUGUUGUGGGAAGUGAGCGCUAGAUUCUUUACUAGAGUCCCGGGGGAGGAGGAGGAGGAGGAGAGGACAGUGAAAACGGAAGGGGCGGCCUUAGGGCUGAAUGGGAGGCGGGCCCCUUAGGAGGAACUUCCGCUGUGGGGAGAGUAAAAUUCGGGGCGGUGACCUUGCGGCUUCCCUGGGGCUCUUCCCUCCUGAGCAUUUAGGCUCCUUUUGGUCCCAUGUGCCCUAGGGCCCAGGAAAUGGAAAGGUUCGAGUUCUCUGAUAAAUGCCACACAGAGGCUUCAAGCCCCUGUCAGUGCUAAGGUUACUAAAAAAAAAAAAAAAAACCUGUACCUGCCCUCCUGGAGCUCCCUAAUUAGGGAACCAGUAAACAAACAGCUAGGUCUAACGUAUCUGAUGGAAGGUUGCUAAUCUUUCUCCAAGAGGACCUUGACUUCAAGGAUAUGCAAGUGUAUUGGAUUAAAGUGAGGGAAGGUUGCCAUCUCCCCUGAAAAUGGUCCUUGAUGACCUGCCUUGUUCUCAGUUAACACUCCUGACCCUUUUGGGCUGAUUGAAUGAGGUGACCUCGGCAAUUCCAAUAGACUUGUGAUGGAAAAGUCAUCUGCAUCCAGAGAGACUGAAUGUGGACCAAAGCAUAGUGUUUUCACUUUUGUUGCUGUUUGUUUGCUUGGGUUUUUUUUUUUUUCCUUAUGUUUUUUCCCCGAAAACUCUCUACAUGGAUUUAGUAAAAUAAAAAGUUAUUGCCCCCCCCAAAAAAAAAAUCCUCACUUGACCUUAUUUUAAACGCAUAUUCUGUAUCUCCUUUACCCAGCGAAACUUUUUGCUUUCACUUUUGCUUCCCCUCAAUCUUAUAUAAUCUGAAGAUUGCUUAACUGAAACUGUUUUCUCCAAAAUUAUAUAUGAUUAAAGGAUCAUCACAUCAAAGGACCUUUCUUCAGUCAUCUUUUUUGCUUUAUGCCAUCUGACAUAUUCUUUGGAGUUUUGUGACAGUUUUGAAAUGGAUUGAGAAGAUUCAAGCAGCCUUGCAGGCAGAUGGAAAGCAACUGAGAGCAAAAGGUUGAAAAUGACUGAAAGAAAGGAAAAUUGCUAUUCUAAAGUCCUAAAGGAGGACAUUUUGAUUCACAAAUCCUGGUACCUUUGAAUUCCAAAAGAAGAUCCUGGACAGUCCCAGCUCCACCUGGAUCUGAGCCAACUUGGAAUCCCACCCACAG